UGAGAAAUUAAAACCCCUCACCCAUCCCUGCCCCUUUCUCUCUUUCUCUCUCACUGGACAAACCCAAACCAUAACGGCGGUAGGAACCCAGCCCCAUCCCAUCGCCGAGCUCUUCUCUUCCAAUAGACAGUGUUGUCGCCGCUGACAGAGAUAGACUUGUGUGUUGUCUUCGCUCGUGGAAGGUCUGCUCGCUUCUCGAUCCUCUUCUCCUCGACGUCAAGUGCUUGCUCGGAACUGUUGGCGACUUGGAACAGUUGGCGACGCCGCCGCGAAGGGCUUCUCCGUCGUCGUCUGUGCUCGAUUUGUUGGUGCCCAUCUCUCUUCGAGUUCUCUCUCUAUUCGAGGCUUCGAGCUCUCUCUGUCUCUCCUCUUUCUCACUGCGAUGUGUCUCUCUGCUCGGCUGUGGAGUAUUCACUGCGCCGUCACCUUCUUUCCUCCCUCGCCGCCGGAUAAUGAGAAGGAGAACAUCACAAGCAAUUGUAUUCGACAAAUUUGAUAUUGCUAUUGUAGAACAUUAUAAUUUUGAUUGUUAAUUUUUUUUAUUCUAUUGAUAUUUUUUAUAAUUUUUAUGAAAUUAGAAUAAUUGUUUGUGGUUGAACAUUAUUUCUUUGUCAUUUAAGUGCAUUUUGAUUUUUAUUAGUUAUAAAGAUUGAUGUUUAAAGUUA